UUGCAUUGUAGUACUGGGUUAUUCUUUGCCGAUAUGCUGCCAUCUGAAUUUGAACUUGCUGUUGGACUUUCGAAAGUAAGUCUAGAUUGACUCUUCGAUAUUCAGAAUUGCUUGGCUUAUUAUACUGUUCUACUCUUACUGAUGGUAAUCCGAUCUCAAGUGGAAUCAUCGCCUCUAUCCCAUAGGCUAGGUUGAAUGGCGAUUCUUCUGUCGGUAUGCGAAGAGUUUCCGAUAUGCCCA
rnacentral:lncRNA from 1 species